UCCCUGGUGGCUCAGAUGGUAAAGCGUCUGCCUGCAAUGUGAGAGACCCAGGUUCGAUUCCUGGGUUGGGAA
rfam:Ovis aries breed Texel chromosome 12, whole genome shotgun sequence.